rnacentral:rRNA from 1 species
AUUGAACGCUGGCGGCAUGCUUUACACAUGCAAGUCGAACGGUAACAGGGAGCUUGCUCCGCUGACGAGUGGCGAACGGGUGAGUAAUGCGUCGGAACGUGCCGAGUAGUGGGGGAUAACGCAGCGAAAGUUGUGCUAAUACCGCAUACGUACUGAGGUAGAAAGUGGGGGACCUUCGGGCCUUACGCUAUUCGAGCGGCCGACGUCUGAUUAGCUAGUAGGUGAGGUAAAGGCUCACCUAGGCGACGAUCAGUAGCGGGUCUGAGAGGAUGAUCCGCCACACUGGGACUGAGACACGGCCCAGACUCCUACGGGAGGCAGCAGUGGGGAAUUUUGGACAAUGGGCGAAAGCCUGAUCCAGCCAUGCCGCGUGUCUGAAGAAGGCCUUCGGGUUGUAAAGGACUUUUGUCGGGGAGGAAAUCCCCAGCGCUAAUACCGCUGGGGGAUGACAGUACCUGAAGAAUAAGCACCGGCUAACUACGUGCCAGCCGCCGCCGUAACAC